GGGUUGUGAGGUUAAGCGACUAAGCGUACACGGUGGAUGCCCUGGCAGUCAGAGGCGAUGAAGGACGUGCUAAUCUGCGAUAAGCGUCGGUAAGGUGAUAUGAACCGUUAUAACCGGCGAUUUCCGAAUGGGGAAACCCAGUGUGUUUCGACACACUAUCAUUAACUGAAUCCAUAGGUUAAUGAGGCGAACCGGGGGAACUGAAACAUCUAAGUACCCCGAGGAAAAGAAAUCAACCGAGAUUCCCCCAGUAGCGGCGAGCGAACGGGGAGCAGCCCAGAGCCUGAAUCAGUGUGUGUGUUAGUGGAAGCGUCUGGAAAGGCGCGCGAUACAGGGUGACAGCCCCGUACACAAAAAUGCACAUGCUGUGAGCUCGAUGAGUAGGGCGGGACACGUGGUAUCCUGUCUGAAUAUGGGGGGACCAUCCUCCAAGGCUAAAUACUCCUGACUGACCGAUAGUGAACCAGUACCGUGAGGGAAAGGCGAAAAGAACCCCGGCGAGGGGAGUGAAAAAGAACCUGAAACCGUGUACGUACAAGCAGUGGGAGCACGCUUAGGCGUGUGACUGCGUACCUUUUGUAUAAUGGGUCAGCGACUUAUAUUCUGUAGCAAGGUUAACCGAAUAGGGGAGCCGAAGGGAAACCGAGUCUUAACUGGGCGUUAAGUUGCAGGGUAUAGACCCGAAACCCGGUGAUCUAGCCAUGGGCAGGUUGAAGGUUGGGUAACACUAACUGGAGGACCGAACCGACUAAUGUUGAAAAAUUAGCGGAUGACUUGUGGCUGGGGGUGAAAGGCCAAUCAAACCGGGAGAUAGCUGGUUCUCCCCGAAAGCUAUUUAGGUAGCGCCUCGUGAAUUCAUCUCCGGGGGUAGAGCACUGUUUCGGCAAGGGGGUCAUCCCGACUUACCAACCCGAUGCAAACUGCGAAUACCGGAGAAUGUUAUCACGGGAGACACACGGCGGGUGCUAACGUCCGUCGUGAAGAGGGAAACAACCCAGACCGCCAGCUAAGGUCCCAAAGUCAUGGUUAAGUGGGAAACGAUGUGGGAAGGCCCAGACAGCCAGGAUGUUGGCUUAGAAGCAGCCAUCAUUUAAAGAAAGCGUAAUAGCUCACUGGUCGAGUCGGCCUGCGCGGAAGAUGUAACGGGGCUAAACCAUGCACCGAAGCUGCGGCAGCGACGCUGAUGCGUUGUUGGGUAGGGGAGCGUUCUGUAAGCCUGCGAAGGUGUGCUGUGAGGCAUGCUGGAGGUAUCAGAAGUGCGAAUGCUGACAUAAGUAACGAUAAAGCGGGUGAAAAGCCCGCUCGCCGGAAGACCAAGGGUUCCUGUCCAACGUUAAUCGGGGCAGGGUGAGUCGACCCCUAAGGCGAGGCCGAAAGGCGUAGUCGAUGGGAAACAGGUUAAUAUUCCUGUACUUGGUGUUACUGCGAAGGGGGGACGGAGAAGGCUAUGUUGGCCGGGCGACGGUUGUCCCGGUUUAAGCGUGUAGGCUGGUUUUCCAGGCAAAUCCGGAAAAUCAAGGCUGAGGCGUGAUGACGAGGCACUACGGUGCUGAAGCAACAAAUGCCCUGCUUCCAGGAAAAGCCUCUAAGCAUCAGGUAACAUCAAAUCGUACCCCAAACCGACACAGGUGGUCAGGUAGAGAAUACCAAGGCGCUUGAGAGAACUCGGGUGAAGGAACUAGGCAAAAUGGUGCCGUAACUUCGGGAGAAGGCACGCUGAUAUGUAGGUGAAGUCCCUCGCGGAUGGAGCUGAAAUCAGUCGAAGAUACCAGCUGGCUGCAACUGUUUAUUAAAAACACAGCACUGUGCAAACACGAAAGUGGACGUAUACGGUGUGACGCCUGCCCGGUGCCGGAAGGUUAAUUGAUGGGGUUAGCCGCAAGGCGAAGCUCUUGAUCGAAGCCCCGGUAAACGGCGGCCGUAACUAUAACGGUCCUAAGGUAGCGAAAUUCCUUGUCGGGUAAGUUCCGACCUGCACGAAUGGCGUAAUGAUGGCCAGGCUGUCUCCACCCGAGACUCAGUGAAAUUGAACUCGCUGUGAAGAUGCAGUGUACCCGCGGCAAGACGGAAAGACCCCGUGAACCUUUACUAUAGCUUGACACUGAACAUUGAGCCUUGAUGUGUAGGAUAGGUGGGAGGCUUUGAAGUGUGGACGCCAGUCUGCAUGGAGCCGACCUUGAAAUACCACCCUUUAAUGUUUGAUGUUCUAACGUUGACCCGUAAUCCGGGUUGCGGACAGUGUCUGGUGGGUAGUUUGACUGGGGCGGUCUCCUCCUAAAGAGUAACGGAGGAGCACGAAGGUUGGCUAAUCCUGGUCGGACAUCAGGAGGUUAGUGCAAUGGCAUAAGCCAGCUUGACUGCGAGCGUGACGGCGCGAGCAGGUGCGAAAGCAGGUCAUAGUGAUCCGGUGGUUCUGAAUGGAAGGGCCAUCGCUCAACGGAUAAAAGGUACUCCGGGGAUAACAGGCUGAUACCGCCCAAGAGUUCAUAUCGACGGCGGUGUUUGGCACCUCGAUGUCGGCUCAUCACAUCCUGGGGCUGAAGUAGGUCCCAAGGGUAUGGCUGUUCGCCAUUUAAAGUGGUACGCGAGCUGGGUUUAGAACGUCGUGAGACAGUUCGGUCCCUAUCUGCCGUGGGCGCUGGAGAACUGAGGGGGGCUGCUCCUAGUACGAGAGGACCGGAGUGGACGCAUCACUGGUGUUCGGGUUGUCAUGCCAAUGGCACUGCCCGGUAGCUAAAUGCGGAAGAGAUAAGUGCUGAAAGCAUCUAAGCACGAAACUUGCCCCGAGAUGAGUUCUCCCUGACCCUUUAAGGGUCCUGAAGGAACGUUGAAGACGACGACGUUGAUAGGCCGGGUGUGUAAGCGCAGCGAUGCGUUGAGCUAACCGGUACUAAUGAACCGUGAGGCUUAACCUUACAACGCCGAAGGUGUUU
rnacentral:rRNA from 1 species